rnacentral:lncRNA from 1 species
CUUGCUUGAUUUCUUGAGAAGGGGGCAGUCCAUCUUAAAAUGAUCGGGCUUCUUGCAUUCAAAACACACGGAGAGUUCUUUGUCUUUCUCCUUCUCCCUAUCUUUGCUCGGUUCUCCUUUAAAUGGCCUUCUCUUGAAGUUUUGUCUCUUCUUCUUCAUGAACCUUCUUGCAAUCAAAGCCAAAUCAUCCUCUUCACCUUCUUCAUCUGACUCAUCGCUUUCAUCAUCUUCAAUUACGGUUGACUUGGGUGCGAUGAUUUUUUUCUUCUUACUUUCCUCCUCAAUAUUUUGCUUCAUGGUUAACUCAUGGAUCAUGAAAGAACCAAGAAGUUCUUCUAAUGGAAGCUUAUUGAGGUCCUUGGCUUCUUAGAUUGCAGUGACUUUGGCUUUCCAUGCUUUCGGUAGAGAUCU